CCAUAGCUCAAUUGGACAGAGCGUUUGACUACGGAUCAAAAGGUUGCGGGUUCGACUCCUACUGGG
rnacentral:tRNA from 1 species